AUUGAACGCUGGCGGCAUGCCUUACACAUGCAGUCGAACGGUAACGGGCCUUCGGGUGCCGACGAGUGGCGAACGGGUGAGUAAUACAUCGGAACGUGCCCGAUCGUGGGGGAUAACGAGGCGAAAGCUUUGCUAAUACCGCAUACGAUCUACGGAUGAAAGCAGGGGACCGCAAGGCCUUGCGCGGACGGAGCGGCCGAUGGCAGAUUAGGUAGUUGGUGGGAUAAAAGCUUACCAAGCCGACGAUCUGUAGCUGGUCUGAGAGGAUGAUCAGCCACACUGGGACUGAGACACGGCCCAGACUCCUACGGGAGGCAGCAGUGGGGAAUUUUGGACAAUGGGCGCAAGCCUGAUCCAGCCAUGCCGCGUGCAGGAUGAAGGCCUUCGGGUUGUAAACUGCUUUUGUACGGAACGAAAAGCCUUCUUUUAAUACAGGAGGGUCAUGACGGUACCGUAAGAAUAAGCACCGGCUAACUACGUG
rnacentral:rRNA from 1 species